rnacentral:lncRNA from 1 species
GGGUCAUAUGGUACAUCUAGUUCUAGAUCCUUGAGGAAUCGCCAUAGCACUGUCUUCCAUAAUGGUUGAACUAGUUUACAAUCCCACAAACAGUGUAUGUUCUAUUUCUCCACAUCCUCUCCAGCACCUGUUGUUUCCUGACUUUUUAAUGAUCGCCAUUCUAACUGGUGUGAGAUGGUAUCUCAUUGUGGUUUUGUUAGACUAUAUAAGGAACGCAUGAUACAAAAAAGAAUAUGAUCAUGUCCUUUGCAGCAACAUGAAUGGAGCUGGAGGCCAUUAUCCUAAGUGGACUAAUACAGGAAUAGGAAACCAAAAUACUGGAUGUUCUCACUUGUAAGUGAGAGCGAAACACCAAGUUCAUAUGGACACUAAGAAGAGAACAAUAAGCACCGGAACCUACUUGAGGGUGGAGGGUGGGAGGAGAGUGGGGAUUGAAAUCUACCUAUCAGAUACUAUGCUUGUUACCUGGUUGAUUAAGUAAUCUGUACACCAAACUCCCACAACAGUCAAUUUACCUACAUAACAAACCUGCCUGUGUACCCCUGAAGUGAAAAUAAAAGUUAAAAAGAUAAAAAUAAAAAAAAAACCCAAACCCCAUUUCCUCUUUUUAGGAGGAAUCUGGUCAUAUUCGAUUAGGGAUCAUCCUAAUGAUCUCAUUUUGUUUUGAUUAUCUCUGUAAAGAUGCUAUUUCCAAAUAAGGUCAUAUUCUGAGAUAUGAGUGGGGGUAGGACUUCACUAUAUUUUUUGGGGGAAACAGUUCUAUUCAUAAUAUACCUACCCAAUUGAAAACAGGGAGAUGAUUGUGAGCAUAGUGCUGAUAGACAAGGUAAAGAACACUAUAAACAUUUUCCUAAAAGUGUUAGUCCAGAAUUAGGUGACACUAAUUAAUAAGCAAAGUGCACUCAUAUUUAGAACCAGGCUCAUAACCAGUGUGACCUCACUCAUUAGUAAGCCGCAAGAAUAAUAAAGGCUUUGAGUUUUGGUCUGCAAUUAUCUGGGAGCGUGUUGCAGGGAAGGAGUUGCUAUGUGUGCAUUAAUGUUCACCUGGGGCUAAUACCAAUCUGUUGGUGGUGACUACCUGGAGUACUGUCUUGUGGAGAUCUGUGACUCCUCCCAGGCCCCAUGGAUAUAAUAUUGAUUUGAAUUAAUUUGAAUUUGAAUUAAUCUAUAACAGCUCAGAGGAAUGAGAGAUGGCCUGGUGCUAGAAUGGACGUAGUUCCUUGUCUCAAUAAUUCGAGUCAUCGAUUUUUUGUCUUGGCCUCAGGAAGGAAACUGGCAGAGAAAAUUCAAUUUAUUAAACAAUUGUAUGCAACAAACUCUGAUAGGCAUUGUUAACAUGAAGGCUCUGCUCUUGGCUUUUCUAUUUUCAUUCUUUUGCUUGGAUAACUGA